rnacentral:rRNA from 1 species
UACGAAGGGGGCUAGCGUUGCUCGGAAUCACUGGGCGUAAAGCGCACGUAGGCGGAUCCUUAAGUCGGGGGUGAAAUCCUGGAGCUCAACUCCAGAACUGCCUUCGAUACUGAGGAUCUCGAGUCCGGGAGAGGUGAGUGGAACUGCGAGUGUAGAGGUGAAAUUCGUAGAUAUUCGCAAGAACACCAGUGGCGAAGGCGGCUCACUGGCCCGGUACUGACGCUGAGGUGCGAAAGCGUGGGGAGCGAACCGG